GCCAUAAGGGACACUAGGAAUCUGCCACCCCACUACCACUAUUAGAUUAGAUUCAUAAGGGACACUAGACAUCCACCCCCCACUACCACUAUCAGAUUAGAGCCAUAAGGGACACUAGGUAUCUACCACCCCACUUCCACUAUCAGAUUAGGGGGAUUGGGGUGGAGGCCCACUAUUUUGUUUUGCUUUUCCUGUUUAUACUGAAUUUAUUAUUAGUUAACUCUGAAAUGUAACUAAAUGUAAUCUAAAAUAUAUUCUAUGUAUUCCUUGACAGUAAAUAUUUAACAUGAGAGGACCAGAAACAAUAACUAGUAAUACUGCAUACUCCAAGAAUGAUUAAAAAACAGAUGUUUCUGGUAAAAAUAGCUUAUACCAUGCUGAGGUGUACUGUGACAUGUGCACUGGGAGUCGGGGAAGCAAGUUCAGGCAGUGAAUAAAUUAAUAAAUAAAUGAAACCUAAUACAAAACAAGAAACACGAACAACGCAGACAGACAUGAAUCAAAAACAGAAACAAUGACGAUUGGGGAAGGAACCAACGGGAGAAUUACAAUGACAGAUCAUCAGGUAAAACGAACCUGCCUCACGACGGUCUGAACCUCACGUUGCCUAUUAGUGGGUGAACAAUCCAACGCUUGGAGAAUUCUGCUUCACAAUGACAGGAAGAGCCGACAUCGAAGGAUCAAUAUAUAGUUGUAUAUAUAUUGUUAUGGAUAGUUAUAUAUAGCGUUUUUUCUAUAUAUAUAUUGCAGGUAAUCAAGGAGGUGAGUGAGUCCAGGUGAGUGUCAUUUUAUGUGUGUAAUGAUGGUGACAGGUGUGUGUAACGAUGGUGACAGGUGUGUGUAAUGAUGGUGACAGGUGUGUGUAAUGAUGGUGACAGGUGUGUGUAAUGAUGGUGACAGGUGUGUGUAAUGAUGGUGACAGGUGUGUGUAACGAUGGUGACAGGUGUGUGUAAUGAUGGUGACAGGUGUGUGUAAUGAUGGUGACAGGUGUGUGUAAUGAUGGUGACAGGUGUGUGUAAUGAUGGUGACAGGUGUGUGUAACGAUGGUGACAGGUGUGUGUAAUGAUGGUGACAGGUGUGUGUAACGAUGGUGACAGGUGUGUGUAAUGAUGGUGACAGGUGUGUGUAACGAUGGUGACAGGUGUGUGUAACGAUGGUGACAGGUGUGUGUAAUGAUGGUGACAGGUGUGUGUAAUGAUGGUGACAGGUGUGUGUAACGAUGGUGACAGGUGUGUGUAAUGAUGGUGACAGGUGUGUGUAAUGAUGGUGACAGGUGUAUGUAAUGAUGGUGACAGGUGUGUGUAACGAUGGUGACAGGUGUAUGUAACGAUGGUGACAGGUGUAUGUAAUGAUGGUGACAGGUGUGUGUAAUGAUGGUGACAGGUGUGUGUAAUGAUGGUGACAGGUGUAUGUAAUGAUGGUGACAGGUGUGUGUAAUGAUGGUGACAGGUGUAUGUAAUGAUGGUGACAGGUGUAUGUAAUGAUGGUGACAGGUGUGUGUAAUGAUGGUGACAGGUGUAUGUAAUGAUGGUGACAGGUGUGUGUAAUGAUGGUGACAGGUGUAUGUAAUGAUGGUGACAGGUGUGUGUAACGAUGGUGACAGGUGUAUGUAAUGAUGGUGACAGGUGUGUGUAACGAUGGUGACAGGUGUGUGUAAUGAUGGUGACAGGUGUGUGUAACGAUGGUGACAGGUGUGUGUAAUGAUGGUGACAGGUGUGUGUAAUGAUGGUGACAGGUGUGUGUAAUGAUGGUGACAGGUGUGUGUAACGAUGGUGACAGGUGUGUGUAAUGAUGGUGACAGGUGUGUGUAAUGAUGGUGACAGGUGUGUGUAAUGAUGGUGACAGGUGUGUGUAAUGAUGGUGACAGGUGUGUGUAAUGAUGGUGACAGGUGUGUGUAAUGAUGGUGACAGGUGUGUGUAACGAUGGUGACAGGUGUGCGCCAUAACGAGCAGCCUGGUGACCGAGAGGCUGGAGAGUGAGCACAUGUGACACGUACUCACUUUUUGAGGACAAAAGCUCAAGUACACAGUCACAAAUAUGAUAGAAAAUAAUGCCAACACAUAUUACCGGACUGGUAGUCUGAAUCUGUACAAUGCAACAUCGCCAUCUAGGGGACACUGUCAGACAGUACUGGUUCUGUCCAGUGGUUUAGAUAGCACUGUCUGUUUCCUCAAGUGUACUGUCAAGACUUUUUCCGAAGGACAGUAGUUCUCUGUCUGUCUGCCUGCCUGCCUGCCUGCCUGCCUGUCUGUCUGUCUGUCUGUCUGUCUGUCUGUCUGUCUGUCUGUCUGUCUGUCUGUCUGUCUGUCUGUCUGUCUGUCUGUCACAAACAGAUCUGGGACCAGGCUAAUGCCUUCAUAACCUCUACAACAAUCAGAACUGUCCCUUCCCUGAUAAUGGCAGCAAAUGGAGGAGGAGAGAAUUAAUGUUCCCAAAAAUGUACAGAUAGUUUUAGAUGCGUGACCAGUUCCAAUUGGAGUGUAGUGGCAGACUAGAGGGAUGAGUGUCACUUCCUGUCUGGCUACAGGAAGCCCCGCACUCCUUUCACCCACCACAGGCACGAACCAGAGAGAGAAACAUGUUUUUGCGUGUGUGUGUAUGUCUCACAGAGUGAGUGUGAACCAGAGAGAGAAACAGUUGUGUUGUGACAAGGUAAGGGGUGGUAUACAGAAUAUAGCCAUAUUUGGUAAAAUACCAAAGUCCAUAUUAUGGAAAGGACAGCUCAAAUAAAGCAAAGAGAAACGACAGUCCAUCAUUACUUUAAGACAUGAAGGUCAGUCAAUACGGAAUAUUUUAAGAACUUUGAAAGAUUCUUCAGGUGCAGUCGCAAAAACCAUCAAGCACUAUGAUGAAACUGGCUCUCAUGAGGACCGCCACAGGAAAGGAAGACCCAGAGUUACAUUUGCCUCAGAAGAUAAUUUCAUUAUAGUUACCAGCCUCUGAAAUUGCAGCCCAAACAAAUGCUUCCCAGAGUUCAAGUAACAGACACAUCUCAACCUCAACUGUUCAGAGGAGACUGUGUGAAUCAGGCCUUCAUGGUCGAAAUGCUGCAAAGAAACCACUACUAAAGGACACCAAUAAGAAGAAGAGACUUGCUUGGGCCAAGAAACACAAGUAAUGGACAUUAAACUGGUGGAAAUGUUACCUCCUUUUUGGUUACUACAUGAUUCCAUGUGUGUUAUUUCAUAGUUUUGAUGUCGUCACUAUUAUACUAUUAUUCCACACUUUUGACUGGUACACACACACACACACACACACACAUAUAUAAAUAUAUAUAUACUGUGGAAGGACCACUAGAGGGCAGACUGGGCUCAUGGAUAGUAGCCCAACAAAGCAUGGGAGACGAGUUAACCAGAGUCAAUUAAGCACAGCUGACGGUACUAAUGAGAUACUCUCCUUCCCCUAUAAAAGAGAGAAUGGAACCAGCAGAGAGGGGAAAAACUAUCUCUGGAAGAGGGCCACCGAGAGAGAGAGAAGCUGUGCUGAAAGAACCACGAAGAUGGUGACAAACCCGUGAUUUAUGUUUCUUGUAGUUUAAAGAUUAUCCUAUUGUGUUCUUGUUUCAUCUGGAGAAGAAGAUGUGUGUUUUUUUCCUUGGAAGAUUUUUCAUUGAUUAUGUUAGAAUGUUUUUGUUGACAAAAUACCCUCAAUAGAGAACUGUGUUCA